rnacentral:antisense_RNA from 2 species
CUUGACGGAGCCCAACAGCACCGGCUCGGCGCGCUCCUGUCCGUACGUCGCCAGCAGCGCCCGCGCCUC